rnacentral:rRNA from 1 species
UACAGAGGGUGCAAGCGUUGUUCGGAAUUACUGGGCGUAAAGCGCGCGUAGGCGGACCUGCAAGUCGGGGGUGAAAGCCCGAGGCUCAACCUCGGAACUGCCUUCGAUACUGCGGGUCUCGAGUCCGGGAGAGGUGAGUGGAAUUCCUAGUGUAGAGGUGAAAUUCGUAGAUAUUAGGAAGAACACCAGUGGCGAAGGCGGCUCACUGGCCCGGUACUGACGCUGAGGCGCGAAAGCGUGGGGAGCAAACGGG